ACGUCAUAAUUCAACCUUGUUUUUUUCAGAGUUCCGAGAAUGGUAGGGACUCGUGGGCCAAGUUGUGUUAGUUGGUGUUAUUGUCACCUUGGGAGGACCCUAAAAUACCACACUUGUUCUAUAUUAAACCUUGUUGAUCCUUCUGUGAGUCCCAAAAUGUAUUGUAUGCUACUACAUAAAUUAUGUGAUAUGCCAGGGAGAUAUGUAUACUGUUGCUAAGAAAGUAAUAGUAGUAUGUUGUGUAGUAAUUUAUUAGUAGCCCAUGUGCCUCAUCCUAAUAAUGUGGUCCCUUUCCCCCUCAUACCUUAGCCUACUGUUCUGACUGUGGUGCACAUGUAGGCUGUUUUAGAGAAAUGUAAUCAUCAAAUAUUGUAAGAGAGUAAGGACCGACUCUGGUAGAGACGAGAAGCAGGUACAGCGAGUAAACAUUUCAUUAUCAACAGACAUGGAACAGCACAGGACAAGACAGCGUCUGGACAAGAAUACAUAACAACAUUAAUGCAGACACCAGCAACAAACGGGGGAGCAGACAGUUAUAGACGGGGCAAUCAACAAAGUGAAGGAGUCCAGAUGCACAAUCGAGAGCAUCCUGUCGGGCUGUGUCACAGCCUGGUACGGCAACUGCUCUGCCCACAAUCGGAAGGCUCUCCAGAGGGUAGUGCGGUCUGCACAACGCAUCACCGGGGGCAAACUACCUGCCCUCCUGGACACCUACAUCACCCGAUGUCACAGGAAGGCCAAAAAGAUCAUCAAGGACAACAACCACCUGUUCACCCCGCUAUCAUCCAGAAGGCGAGGUCAGUACAGGUGCAUCAAAGCUGAGACCAAGAGACUGAAAAACAGCUUCUAUUGAGUGGCUGCUGCCAACAUACAGACUCAAAUCUCAUGCCACUUUAAUAAUUAAUAAUUGGAUGUAAUAAAUGUAUCACUUUAAACAAUGCCACUUUAUAUGUUUACAUACCCUACAUUACUCAUCUCAUAUGUAUAUACUGUACUCUAUACCAUCUACUGCAUCUUGCCUAUGCCGCACGGCCGUCGCUGAUCCAUAUAUUUACAUGUACAUAUUCUUAUUCAUCCCUUUACACUUGUGUGUAUAAGGUAGUUGUUGUGAAAUUGUUAGAUUACUUGUUAGAUAUUAAUGCACGGUCGGAACUAGAAGCACAAGCAUUUUGCUACACUCGCAUUAACAUCUGCUAACCAUUUGUAUGUGACCAAUAAAAUUUGAUUUGAAAUACAACACGUAAAAUUUCUUUACCUUGUUGUCUGCGUUUCUCCCUUUACAUUUACAUUUACGUCAUUUGUUGUUGGUUCAUCACACAAUUAUUUAAUCAGCAAACAUUAUUGUAAAAUGGUGUUAACACAAUGUUGAACAUUGGAAAAAAGUGUAAAUACAAGUCACAUCCUGGUGAUUUUUUUUCUAUUGAUAAAUGUGAAGUUUCCACGCGGGAGGGCUAUUAGCUAAAUCAGUCAUAAAAUUUGGCAUGCCAUCCA
rnacentral:lncRNA from 1 species